rnacentral:rRNA from 1 species
GGGGAAUAUUGCACAAUGGGGGGAACCUGAUGCAGCGACGCCGCGUGAAGGAAGAAGUAUCUCGGUAUGUAAACUUCUAUCAGCAGGGAAGAGAUUGACGGUACCUGACUAAGAAGCCCCGGCUAACUACGUGCCAGCAGCCGCGGUAAUACGUAGGGGGCAAGCGUUAUCCGGAUUUACUGGGUGUAAAGGGAGCGUAGACGGAUGGACAAGUCUGAUGUGAAAGGCUGGGGCUCAACCCCGGGACUGCAUUGGAAACUGCCCGUCUUGAGUGCCGGAGAGGUAAGCGGAAUUCCUAGUGUAGCGGUGAAAUGCGUAGAUAUUAGGAGGAACACCAGUGGCGAAGGCGGCUUACUGGACGGUAACUGACGUUGAGGCUCGAAAGCGUGGGGAGCAAACAGGAUUAGAUACCCUGGUAGUCCACGCGGUAAACGAUGAAUGCUAGGUGUCGGGUGAC